rnacentral:sRNA from 1 species
GACUUCGCAGGAUUUCAAGCGGCGAGUGAAUUGGUUCUUUCGUAGUUCGCCCAUCAACGGUACUCCGGUUGGUCCUAUUACCCCUUCCUUGAUUUUCCGCACCCCAUGGGCUUCGGCCCCGUUUUAUCUUUUUAGGAACAAGUAACAUGGCAACCGGUACCGUCAAGUGGUUCAAUGACGCAAAGGGCUUCGGCUUCAUCACCCCGGAAGGCGGCGGCGACGAUCUGUUCGCGCACUUCUCGGAAAUCCGCGUCGAAGGCUUCAAGACGCUGCAAGAAAACCAGAAGGUUGAAUUCGAAGUGAAGACGGGCCCGAAGGGUCUGCAAGCUGCGAACAUCCGUCCGGUCUAAGCUUGGCGCGAUAAUUCGUGUAAAAAAGCCCCGCUUCGGCGGGGCUUUUUGU